rnacentral:sRNA from 1 species
GAUGAGAAGGGGGGCUCCCUUCUCUAGUAGCAAAGGGUGAGGAGACUGAGUCUCCUUUCUACUGCCAGGUCACUGGGGACUAUUUGUCAUGGGAGUGGAGGUGAUAAGGAAGGGGCUCAGCCAUCGCCAAGAUCGUGGGUGGCAAUGCAGCCCAGCUGGCACAGUUUGACCCACGGGUGACCAUGUGGGUAUUUGAGGAAGACAUUGGAGGCAAAAAGCUGACUGAGAUCAUCAACACGCAGCAUGAGAAUGUCAAAUACCUGCCAGGGCACAAGUUGCCCCCAAAUGUGGUGGCUGUCCCAGAUGUGGUCCAGGCUGCAGAGGAUGCUGACAUCCUGAUCUUUGUGGUGCCCCAUCAGUUCAUCGGCAAGAUCUGUGACCAGCUCAAGGGCCAUCUGAAGGCAAACGCCACUGGCAUAUCUCUUAUUAAGGCUGCAAGGACCCGGCCCAGGGACAACUCCUGAAAGAGCUGAUGCAGACACCAAACUUCCGUAUCACAGUGGUGCAAGAGGUGGACACAGUAGAGAUCUGUGGAGCCUUAAAGUGGGUGUCACGGCUGAUGAAAUGAGUAUGAGGGGGCUCCAC